AUUUAGAUGAGUUUGGUGAUAGCUCUGAUUGAACGCUGUCUAAGUGCUUGACACAUGCUAAUCGUACGAUUAAUACAAUUGAAAAAUUAAAUUAAUAGUGGUGUAAGGGUGAGUAUAAGAUAUUUUUGCCUAUCUUGAAGUAAGGGGGUAUUAAAAUCCCUUAUAAUAAAAAAAAAGGUGGUAAGUUACCACUGCUUUGAGAGGACGAGAAAUAUUACAGGAAAAGGUAGUUGUUAAGGUAAUGGCUUAACAAGCCGCGAAUUUCCUUAGUCGUAACUGAAAGGUUGAUCGAUCACAUUGGGUCUGAAAAAACCCCAAUGCAUAUAUGCACAGCAGUGAGGAAUUUUGGUCAAUGGCCUAACGGCCGAACUGGCAACUUAGGGAAAUGACAAUUGGUUAUCAAAUGAAGUUUUGUCUAUAUAUUGAUAAUGACAAUAUAUAUAAAAAGUCUUGACUAAUUACGUGCCAGCAGUCGCGGUAAUACGUAAGAGACAAGUGUUAUUCAUCUUAAGUAGGUUUAAAGGGUACCUAGACGGCCAACAUGACUUUAUAAGUAGUAGUUGGCUAGAGUUUUAUGUAAGAAGUACAGUACUUUUAAGUGGAGAGAUGAAAUUCUGUGAUACUCUAGGGACUGGUAAAGGCGAAGGCAGUCUUCUAUGUAAAAACUGACGUUGAGGGACGAAGGCUUAGGUAACGAACAGGAUUAGGCACCCCAGUAGUCUCUGCAGACAAUGAUGAAUGCCAUAGAUUAGACAUAGUUUGGUCUAUAAAUGAAAGUGUAAGCAUUUCACCUCAAGAGUAAAGUGGCAACACCGGAACUGAAAUCACUAGACCGUUUCUGACACCAGUAGUGAAGUAUGUUGUUUAAUUCGAUGAUCCACGAAAAACCUUACCACAAUUUGAAUACUUAAUGAUAAGUUAAGAUACAGGUGUUGCACGGCUGUUUUCAGUUAAUGUUGUGAAACUGUGGGUUUCUCCAUGUAAUUAACGGAAUCCUUGUCUCUAUUUAUAAAAGAUAUAAUAGAGAAUUUUUUCUGUAUACCGGAAAUAAUAAAGAGGACAAAGACAAGUCAUCAUGGCCCUAAUAUUGUGGGCUAUAAACGUGCCGCAGUACUCCUAAACAAAGAGAUGCGAAAAUGCGAAUUUAAGCUAAUCUCAAAAAAUAGGAUACAAACAAAAGGAUUGUAGUCUGAAAUUCGACUAUAUGAAUAAGUAAUUGCUAGUAAUCGUGAAUCACCAUGUCACGGUGAAUACAACCUCGGAUUGGUACUAACCACUCGUCACAUGCUGAAAGGAGUGCUCCGCAAUAAGUUUGCUUUUUUAUUAUAAAUAUAUAAUAGUUAUAAUUAGAUCUUUAUAAUAGGAUUCACCGUAUGCGAGACUCUGAUUAGUGUUAAGUCGAAAUACGGUUCGUGUAGUGGAAGUUGCACGGGAUUGAUUAACCAUA
rnacentral:rRNA from 1 species